ACAUAAUGCAUGGUUGUGUCAGAAGAUUUUCCUAUAAUUUAAAGGUGUUUUUGGUUAAAGGUAGAAAUCAUAUUAUUUUCACAUGGGGAACUUAGCUUAAGGAAAGAAGUCUAUUUAUGAUGGGAAAACGGAUGUAAAGCUAGCUAAAGAAAUUCACUUCAAGGAAUUGAUAUAGUAUUGCUUGGAAUUUAACAGGUUUUGGUUACCAGCCAAGAUGCAGAUGAUUAUUUUGAAAGGACCCUGUAAAAUGAAUUUUGGAGGUUCACAACCUGGCAAUUGUUGCAUUUAAGGUCUUUUAUCCUUGAUGUGAUGAAAGGGAGUUUAGUUGCUUAUAGAUCUUUUGCCUAGAUCAAAUUAGUGCAUUAUGUCACAGUUUAUA
rnacentral:misc_RNA from 1 species